rnacentral:lncRNA from 13 species
AAAGACACUCUUCUCUCACCCUCACACACACAGCGGUACCACAGUACACACACACUCCGAUACACCAAUACUAAGCUCCAAGCUCCAGGAUCCAGCAAAGUGUCUUGUGUUGGGAGUCCUCUCAGAGUGUGUGUGUUGUGUGUUGUGUUGGGAGUCCUCUCAGAGUGUGUGUGUUGUGUGUUGUGUUGGGAGUCCUCUCAGAGUGUGUGUGUGUGUGUUGUGUUGGGAGUCCUCUCAGAGUGUGUGUGUGUGUUGCAUUUGUCAAUAGAAGAAGCAAUCAGCUCCUCUCUCUCCUCUUUUUUUCUCUCUCUCUUCUACCUCCAUUAUCAGCGUGUUUCCCCUCUACAUUCUCCCCUUAAACAAAUUACAGGAAUGGAGCAAAGUAGAAAUCAAUGUGGCCAUUAUGUGUAAACAAUGUUACUGGUAGACAGAGGUGAUGCUCUUACUGCUGGAGGCUGAUUUGGCCUCUGAUGAAGCACAGAGNNNNNNNNNNUCCUUAUAGAGCAGUACCUGUGGAGUGGACCUUUAGCAGUUCUUAUAGAGCAGUACCUGUGGAGUGGACCUGUAGCAGUCCUUAUAGAGCAGUACCUGUGGA